UGGCUCAGUUGGUAGAGCAUGUGACUCUUGAUCUCAGGAUUGUGAGUUCAAGUCCCAC
rnacentral:tRNA from 1 species